UGUUGUUGCAGUUAUGAUAAAAGCAAAGCCUAUGUCUGCAACAAUUAUGGUAAAGAAUGUCAUGCAAGUAAUGCAAGUAUCGGAGUAAUAAGACAUUCCCGAUACUGCCCUCAACAAGAUCAACUCUGAUCUACUAGGGUGAAGCUUAUUGUGUCUCCCGAGACGGAAGGAUGCCUUCUACAGUGUACUACUUCAGGAGACCUGGUGAACAUGAUGAGUUUCGCCCAAGAGUUGGUGUUGUUGACUUUUAAAUUUUACUGGUCAGUUGAGAAAUUUCACCGUCCUGUUGGACCAGUAGAUAUGAAAAAGACUGUCCCGAAAUCAUAAAAAACCACUCAUAUGACAUUAAUCUAUAUCAUCUUAAUACUAUAUUGUUCGUACGUAAUGCCAUUCUAUUGGAAAACAUUAGGAUUGUUCAGUUCGAUACAAAAUGUUUUUAGAAUCAGUCGCUGUAAUACAUUUUUUCUUGUAUUACUUCCAAGUACAACUUAAUAAGAUACGAACUUAUGUACAUCCAAACAGUGCUUGGAUGCUUUUACCUGUCAAAUUUGCUAGUCCGAUCAUGAAUGAAAACUGAUAAAAGUAAAAGAACUUGUCAACAAUAAUAUCCUUUAUAAAAAGUUUAUAGAUUGGGAUUUUCAAAAACAUUUGGAUAAUGUUAAAUUAAAUGUCUUUGUAACCCUGCUCAAUCCAAAAAUGAAGGACAACAACAACUGAAUUCUACCGCUUUGAAUAUCCAACCCCCUGAAGAAAAGGAAUUUAUAAAAUGAAAGUAUGAAAUCAAAUAUAACAAAAGAUAAAGAAGUAAUUAAUCGGUCUUCAAAGAAGUUAACAAAUGUUGUCGGGAAGAGGUUUGAAAUUUGUACCAACAAAAACAAAACAAUAGGGUGUGUCUGCGUGAAUAUGUUUUUGAAAAAGAAUCAGAGAAUGAACCGUCUUUCAAUAAUGAUGAAAAUUUCAAUAAAGAAUAAAUUAAAAUAUAAUAUGACACCAGAGGAGGGAAGUGAGAAAUGGCUCAAGACGUUAUUAGAGGUCUAAAUAGAAUGUUUCUAGUAAACACGCACCAAAGAAAAGGCUAUGAAAGACCUACUGGUGGAACAGAACAUAGUAUUAAGACCUGCAGAAAAGGGAUCUGGGAUAGUGGAUACGAAUAAAUAGAUUGAUCAAGUAGAAAAUGAAAUGAUUAACAGCGUGUCCUACACCUAUGUCACGUGCGACAAAAGCAAACUACCAACAAAAUAAAAAAUUAGCUAAUGAUAUGCAUAAAAUGGAUCAAUUUCGUCUGUAUUUUGACAUUAUCUACUACCCACUGAAGGCGCAUGGGAGUGGUUAAUCGGAACUGUUCGGAGGAUAUUGGAUGCUAUGUUCAUUGGACCGCAAAAUCGGAAUUUGAUCCAUGAUAUUUUGAGUACGAUUAUGGGAAAAGUUUCAGCUAUAGUUAAUUUGCGACCACUAGUACCUGUGUCAACAGACCCAGAUCUACCGUUUGGGUUAUCUCCGAAUGUGUUGCUUACCCAGAAAUUCGCAAGUGAUAAUGAGGAUUCAUAUCUUUGUGAUAUUGGCCAUAAACAUAUGCUGAAAGCUAAAUGGAAACGCUCGCAAGAACUUGCUAACCAACUUUGGAAACGUUAUCAGUCUGAAUAUUUACACUCGCUUCAACCGAGUCGUAAUUGGGAUCGCGCAUCACCGAAUGUGAAGGAGGGUAACAUUGUCCUUGUCAAGAAUGAAAGUCUCCGUGGUCAAUGGUCCUUAGCAGUAACUGAGAAAAUCUUUGCAGCUACCUAGUGCCCAACUGUGAAAAGAUGGUGUACUGGACAGGUACUUCUGGUACCCCUGGUGAGAGGGCACGACCUAAAUGUCUGAUGUCAUUGGAGCCUAUAGAUUAGUUUCUAACCACAUUGACGAGACAGAAAGUUGGAUUGUAUGUUGAAGAUAUUGCUGAAUGCUGUGGAUUCUCAGUCACACCAACUUCCACCUCACUUUCCAUGAUGUCACGAGCUGGGCCAUGUCUGAAACAUGAACAUCCAUGAAUUAUCAAUUUUGUGUGCAUAUGUUUUGCACUUUAAAUGAUUAAAAGUGUUUGUCAUUGAAUAUGUCUUGAUAAA